AACGAACGCUGGCGGCAGGCUUAACACAUGCAAGUCGAACGCCCCGCAAGGGGAGUGGCAGACGGGUGAGUAACGCGUGGGAAUCUACCUAGUUCUACGGAACAACAGUCGGAAACGACUGCUAAUACCGUAUACGCCCUAUGGGGGAAAGAUUUAUCGGAAUUAGAUGAGCCCGCGUUGGAUUAGCUAGUUGGUGAGGUAAUGGCUCACCAAGGUGACGAUCCAUAGCUGGUCUGAGAGGAUGAUCAGCCACACUGGGACUGAGACACGGCCCAGACUCCUACGGGAGGCAGCAGUGGGGAAUAUUGGACAAUGGGCGCAAGCCUGAUCCAGCCAUGCCGCGUGAGUGAUGAAGGCCUUAGGGUUGUAAAGCUCUUUCACCGAUGAAGAUAAUGACGGUAGUCGGAGAAGAAGCCCCGGCUAACUUCGUGCCAGCCGCCGCCGUAA
rnacentral:rRNA from 1 species